rnacentral:rRNA from 1 species
UACGGAGGGUGCAAGCAUUAAUCGGAAUGAUUGGGCGUAUAGGGCGCGUAGGCGGAUAGAUAAGUCAGGUGUGAAAUCCCAAGGCUCAACCUUGGAACAGCACUUGAAACUGUGUAUCUAGAGGGUAGUCGGAGAAAACGGAAUUCCACAAGUAGCGGUGAAAUGCGUAGAGAUGUGGAAGAACACCUGUGGCGAAAGCGGUUUUCUAGAUUAUACCUGACGCUGAGGCGCGAGAGCUAGGGGAGCAAACAGG